UCAGAUGCAGUACUUCGCAGUUUGCACUAUUUUGAGCUGAAAAAAGGUAUGAUCUAUCUUAACCAGUAUUUGAUACAAAACCUAGUUUACUACUUCAAUGAAGUGAUUUUGGAUUCUUGGUAGGAAAUUGGAGGAAAGCAUACUUGAGAUUUGUUGGUUUUCAGCUUAAAUCUUAAACUAAUAAGUAGGGUUGGUCUCAGUGAGGAGUGGGUAUUUUAGGUAUGGUGAAAUAUAGUUGUUCUUGGUAGUACGCAAUUCAGCUAAAUGAGAUUAAUGAGGAAGUGGUCUGGUGGCCUAUUAAUUAUUGCACUUGCUUUAAUUUUACUCAUACGAUAUAGUCUCGUUACAAAAGAUUCAGUUAAUAAGCAUUCUGCGGCAUAUGAUUUCUUUAAUAAUCAUCCAACCAAUGCUUCGAUUGCCAUUAAGUCAUCCCGGCCACGGCUAAUUCCAAAUGAUGCAAAGAGGGCAGAUGUUAUUAAUGUGUAUGGUCUCAGUGAACUAUUCUCUCCCACAGAUAUAAUAAGUAAAGAAGAGGCUAAAGUGUUAGAUGUAUGGAUUCAUAUGCGUACAAUUUUGUCUAGGUCGGAUUAUUUGCCCGAAACAACUCAAGGGAUUAUAGAAGCUUCAAUUUCAUGGAAAGAAUUAUUGUCUACGCUAAGCGAACAAAAAGCUUCAAGGCUUAUGGAGAACAGUAGUAGUAGUAGUAGUAGUCAUGUAGAAGACAAUAAGAAUUGUUCUUUUUCUGUUAGUAUGGAGAAUGAUAGUGUAUUGAGAUAUGGAAGUAGUCUUCAGUUUCCUUGUGGACUUGUUGAGGAUUCGUCAAUUACAGUAGUGGGAUUUCCUAAUGGAUUGAAUAGAAGCUUUCAGAUUGAACUUAUAGGUUCGAAACUUAAGGAUGAGAUACAUCCUCCUGUUGUAUUGCAUUAUGAAGUCAGUCUUCCGCGAGAUGAACUCAAGGAAGAUCCAGUCAUAACUCAAAAUGCAUGGACUGCUGGUAGUGGUUGGGGGAAAGACGAGAAGUGUCCUGCCCGUCGCUCUACUAGUAACCUUGAAGUUGAUGGACUUGUUCUUUGCAAUGAACAAGUUGUCAAUGAAGAUAACAUCAGUCGGCGUCAACCUAAUGGUGAGAAAUUGACCAACGCUUCUCAUGGAAGUUCUCACACGAGUUAUAACUUUCCAUUUGUGGAAGGAAAUCCAUUCACUGCCACCGUAUGGGUUGGUGUCGAGGGAUUUCAUAUGACUGUUAAUGGGAGGCAUGAGACUUCUUUUGCCUAUAGGGAGAAACUUGAGCCAUGGUUGGUUAGUGAUAUUAAAGUUACCGGUGGUUUGGAUCUUUUAUCUGCCUUAGCUACUGGCUUGCCUGUAUCAGAAGACCUGGAUUUAAUUGAUAUCGAGCGCCUCAAAGCUCCUCUACUUCCCAGGAAACGAAUUAUAAUGCUUAUUGGAGUUUUUUCAACUGGAAACAAUUUUGAGCGUCGAAUGGCGCUAAGGAGGUCUUGGAUGCAAUAUGAAGUCGUGCGCUCUGGGCAAGUGGCUGUUCGCUUUUUCGUUGGUCUUAACAAGAACAGCAUAGUCAAUGCUGAGCUGUGGAGAGAAGCUCAAACAUAUGGAGACAUCCAACUUAUGCCUUUUGUUGAUUAUUAUGAUUUGAUCACUCUGAAAACGAUUGCCAUUUGUUUAAUGGGGACUAAAAUUCUCCCUGCAAAAUAUAUAAUGAAAACAGAUGAUGAUGCCUUCGUAAGAAUAGAUGAAAUCCUGGCUGGUCUCAAGGAAAAGCCUUCUAAUGGCCUCCUGUAUGGUCUAAUAUCUUUUGAUUCAGAACCAAUUAGAGAAAGAGAUAGUAAAUGGUAUAUCAGUGAUGAGGAAUGGCCACAUUCUUUAUACCCACCAUGGGCUCAUGGUCCAGGAUAUGUUCUGUCACGUGAUGUCGCAAAAUUCAUUGUUCAAGGACAUCAGGAAAGAUAUCUCAAGCUGUUUAAACUAGAAGAUGUAGCAAUGGGUAUAUGGAUUGACCAGUUUAAGAAGAAUGGGCAAGAAGUGCAUUACAUGACGGAUGAUCGGUUUAAAAUUUCUGGUUGCGAAGAAAGUUACAUUCUCGCUCACUAUCAGAACCCAAGCAUGGUCUUAUGUUUAUGGGAGAAGCUGCAAAAGGAGCAUGAGGCUGUUUGUUGUUGACUGAUUUCGUGCUAUAAAAUAUGCUCAAAUCAUCCAAACAAUUCUUUUGAGCUUGAACUGUGCCAUGUAUGAUCUUCAAACAGCGUUAGCCCGCAAAUGUUGAUUAACCGGAGUUAAUUCUCACAAGUUUCGUUCUCCAUCAAUCCGCAAGACAAGGAAUAUAUUCAUAAAGAAGUCAUCGUCUACUUUUAUUGUCUAGUGGCCUUGAGCGAGAAAACAACGGCAGCAUCAGCAUCUGGGUUGAUGAACAGGGCUACACCACCUGCUUCAAGAGAUGGAUUUAUGCUUUGAAUUUUUUGUUGCAUAACUGAAGAAAUUUAGGGCUCUUAAAAGAAUUGGGUUUUUAUUUUUUAGUUUCUAGUUUUAUGUAUUCAUCAUGGGUUUCAAUUUGUGUGUUGAUUAAUGUUUAUUUGAGUUGCUUGGUUUAAUUGAUGGUGGUAUUAUGUGCAGAAUGUAAGCAGGAAUAUGUUAGAACUUUAGGGUUCUUAAUUUUUUUUUCCUUUUUUUUUUUUAGUUUUUUGAUUGAAUUUGAUGAAUCUCUGUGUAAUUGAGAUGUUGAAACUGAGACAAAACUGAGGAGAUAGAAAUAACUGAGAUUUGUGUAGUGUGUUGAUUUUUGUAUUGGUGCGGCUGAUGGAGGGUGGGCUGGGUGGUAGUGGUGGUGUUAGUGGCGACGGAGGUGGUACUGGUGGCGGUUUUGGUCCUGAAUUCUGAUAGUGGUGUAGGCGGAAAUAGCGCAGCAGAGAUGGUGGUGAAGGAAUUACAGAGAAAUUGGGAGGAAGAAAAAGGAGAAGAAGAAAGAAUGGAAAAAAAAUAACAGAUUGGAAAUUUUGGUCGCCGAGAUUCGACCCCAGGACCUGUAACUGGGUUCCGGUUUUUUGCUUUUCUAAUUUUACAAAAAUGCCCUCUACGUUGUAAGUAUUUACGCUUGUUUAAGAGAGGAAAAAAAUCAAGGAGGGACAGUGUUGUCCUUUCAUUGUUGAACCAAA